rnacentral:rRNA from 1 species
CCUACGGGAGGCUGCAGUGGGGAAUAUUGGACAAUGGGCGAAAGCCUGAUCCAGCCAUGCCGCGUGUGUGAAGAAGGCCUUCGAGUUGUAAAGCACUUUCAGUGGGGAAGAAAGCCUUGGGGCUAAUACCCUCGAGGAAGGACAUCACCCACAGAAGAAGCACCGGCUAACUCCGUGCCAGCAGCCGCGGUAAUACGGAGGGUGCGAGCGUUAAUCGGAAUUACUGGGCGUAAAGCGCGCGUAGGCGGUCUGAUAAGCCGGUUGUGAAAGCCCCGGGCUCAACCUGGGAACGGCAUCCGGAACUGUCAGGCUAGAGUGCAGGAGAGGAAGGUAGAAUUCCCGGUGUAGCGGUGAAAUGCGUAGAGAUCGGGAGGAAUACCAGUGGCGAAGGCGGCCUUCUGGACUGACACUGACGCUGAGGUGCGAAAGCGUGGGUAGCAAACAGGAUUAGAUACCCGGGUAGUC